rnacentral:rRNA from 1 species
UACAGAGGGGGCAAGCGUUGUUCGGAAUUACUGGGCGUAAAGGGCUCGUAGGCGGCCUUCUAAGUCGAACGUGAAAUCCCCGGGCUCAACCCGGGAACUGCGUCCGAUACUGGGAGGCUUGAAUCCGGGAGAGGGAUGUGGAAUUCCAGGUGUAGCGGUGAAAUGCGUAGAUAUCUGGAGGAACACCGGUGGCGAAGGCGGCAUCCUGGACCGGUAUUGACGCUGAGGCGCGAAAGCCAGGGGAGCAAACGGG